rnacentral:piRNA from 1 species
UAACGUUCACUGAUUAUUGUC